UGGUGGAGUGAUUUGUCUGGUUAAUUCCGUUAACGAACGAGACCUGGACCUGCUAAAUAGUUCAACGAAGCCUUCGGGCUUGGUCUGCGACUUCUUAGAGGGACUAUUGUGUGCGUAGCCAGUGGAAGUUCCAGGCAAUAACA
rnacentral:rRNA from 1 species